rnacentral:rRNA from 1 species
UACGGGGGGGGGCAAGCGUUGUUCGGAAUUACUGGGCGUAAAGGGUGCGUAGGCGGCUUUCUAAGUUGGAUGUGAAAACUCUGGGCUCAACCCAGAGCCUGCAUCCAAAACUGGAGAGCUUGGGUACUGGAGGGGAAAGCGGAAUUCCUGGUGUAGCGGUGAAAUGCGUAGAUAUCAGGAGGAACACCGGUGGCGAAGGCGGCUUUCUGGACAGUUACCGACGCUGAGGCACGAAAGCUAGGGGAGCAAACAGG